rnacentral:rRNA from 1 species
AGCUCGUAGUAGAAGCUCGGGCUCCGGCUGACCGGUCCGCCUCACCGCGUGCACUGGUUCGGCCGGGCCUUCACCUUCUGCGGAACCGCAUCCCCUUCACUGGGGGUGUCGGGGAAACAGGACGUUUACUGUGAAAAAAUUAGAGUGCUCCAGGCAGGCCUAUGCUCGAAUAGAUUAGCAUGGAAUAAUGGAAUAGGACGUGUGGUCUUAUUUCGUUGGUUUCUAGGACCGCCGUAAUGAUUAAUAGGGACAGUCGGGGGCAUCAGUAUUCAAUCGUCAGAGGUGAAAUUCUUGGAUCGAUUGAAGACUAACUACUGCGAAAGCAUUUGCCAAGGAUGUUUUCAUUUAUCAGGAACGAAAGUUAGGGGAUCGAAGACGAUCAGAUACCGUCGUAGUCUUAACCAUAAACUAUGCCGACUAGGGAUCGGACGGUGUUAUUUCUUGACCCGUUCGGCA